AUCGCGGCUGCGCUAUACGUUGUUGCACUGUCCACACUCGACAUUCUCGAUCUCUCGAAGCGUCUCGAAUGCGAUUUCAAAUACACGCGCCCACGUUUAUUGGUCGUUUGAAAUCUUACCGGCUAGACGAGGCGCAGUGGCGUCUGGGUAAAAUAUUGCAACAGCAACAAAUCCGACAUGGCGGCGCGUGAAUACGAGUCGUGAAACGUGCCGCGUAGCGGGGAGAGGAUCUUCGUUGCUCGUCGAAGAGAAGUCAUCCUUUCGUAUUAGAUUUCCACGGUGAUUCAAAUUACUCGCUGAAUCGAGAUACGUUGCUCCGUAACGACGACCUCGACUAACAAUGUUUUUAAACAUACGGACGAGAGAAUUCGCGUUUCACGAACGUUCGAGCCGGCGUUGCGGUCGCCAUCUGCUGGCGUGUCUUUCAAGUAUAUACGUGCCGCGCAAGUGAAUUACGAAUUAUGAAUUGACCACUGCUUGUUUCUGCUCGAAUUUUGCAUGAAACGAACAGGUUUGUCAUACAAGUGUCAACAGUAAUAGCCAAUGGUAACGAACAAGCAUAUUUUGAAUCCAUUUCGUCUCAACAAACUGACGUCAAUUCAAUGCACCUCUCGUAGAUGCUACGCUGCCACCGCACCAUGCAGAAAUUUAAUGCAAGCCAGCAGCGUAGAGUCGGAAAUGGUGGACGUGGCUCCCCGUGGUUUCGCCGCGCGUUUACGGAGCUACCGAUGUAUUUAAUGGCGCAUGAGACAAUUUUUCAAGCACCUAGGAAAGGGAUUCCCGUGCACUAUGAGCUUCAAACCGCGGACGAUUAAUGCCAAGGAUAUUAUCAGCAGGUAUAUUGUCAAUGAAUCUUCGUAAUUAUUGUAAUUUAGAUACGGGACAAGGCGUCUACCGUUGUCAAAACGAAUAGUACAUGAUUUCUUUUAAUAAUGAAUUUUACUGAAAAAUAGUGUGCUUACAUUUUGAUGUUUUGAGAUGAAGUUGUUGGGUGCUAUUGUAACAUGUUAUUGUAACAAUAUUAUUAGAGACAGAAUACAAUAGAUACUA